UACGUAGGGUGCGAGCGUUGCCCGGAUUUAUUGGGCGUAAAGGGCGCGUAGGCGGCCACGCACGUCCGUUGUGAAAUCGCCCGGCUCAACUGGGCGGGGUCAGCGGAUACUGCGCGGCUGGAGCAAGCUAGGGGGCAAUGGAAUUCCCGGUGUAGUGGUGGAAUGCGUAGAUAUCGGGAGGAACACCAGUGGCGAAGGCGGUUGCCUGGAGCUUUGCUGACGCUGAUGCGCGAAAGCGUGGGGAGCAAACAGG
rnacentral:rRNA from 1 species